GCGUAAGCGGCUCAGAGGCGGAGCCACAGGCUGAAGACCUGUUCGCCAACGGUUCGAGUCCGUUUUUAGGCG
rnacentral:tRNA from 1 species